AUUGAACGCUGGCGGCAUGCUUUACACAUGCAAGUCGAACGGCAGCGCGGGCUUCGGCCUGGCGGCGAGUGGCGAACGGGUGAGUAAUGCAUCGGAACGUGCCCAGUAGUGGGGGAUAGCCCGGCGAAAGCCGGAUUAAUACCGCAUACGACCUGAGGGUGAAAGCGGGGGACCGAAAGGCCUCGCGCUAUUGGAGCGGCCGAUGUCGGAUUAGCUAGUUGGUGGGGUAAAGGCUUACCAAGGCGACAGUCCGUAGCUGGUCUGAGAGGACGACCAGCCACACUGGGACUGAGACACGGCCCAGACUCCUACGGGAGGUAGCAGUGGGGAAUUUUGGACAAUGGGGGCAACCCUGAUCCAGCCAUGCCGCGUGCGGGAAGAAGGCCUUCGGGUUGUAAACCGCUUUUGUUCGGGAAGAAAUCCUCUGGGCUAAUACCCCGGGGGGAUGACGGUACCGGAAGAAUAAGCACCGGCUAACUACGUG
rnacentral:rRNA from 1 species